AGCGAACGCUGGCGGCAGGCUUAACACAUGCAAGUCGAACGGGCACUUCGGUGCUAGUGGCAGACGGGUGAGUAACACGUGGGAACGUACCUUUCGGUUCGGAAUAAUCCAGGGAAACUUGGACUAAUACCGGAUACGCCCUUCGGGGGAAAGAUUCAUCGCCGAUAGAUCGGCCCGCGUCUGAUUAGCUAGUUGGUGAGGUAAUGGCUCACCAAGGCGACGAUCAGUAGCUGGUCUGAGAGGAUGAUCAGCCACAUUGGGACUGAGACACGGCCCAAACUCCUACGGGAGGCAGCAGUGGGGAAUAUUGGACAAUGGGCGCAAGCCUGAUCCAGCCAUGCCGCGUGAGUGAUGAAGGCCUUAGGGUUGUAAAGCUCUUCUGUCCGGGAAGAUAAUGACUGUACCGGAAGAAUAAGCCCCGGCUAACUUCGUG
rnacentral:rRNA from 1 species